AUGGCUUCAAACAUAAUUCUAAAUAUUUUGAUGGCUUACAAAUUCUUAUUGGUUAGAGAAAUUCUUUUUAAUUCUCUAUCCUGAAAUUGAAUCACUGGACCCUGCAUCCCGAACUCCCAGCGCAGGAGGCCUGGCGGCAACCUGGGCGCUAGACGGGGUCAGGAACAACUCCUGUGAGAGCUCAGUCCGGGGCUCCAAAAUGCUCGCCAGGAGGAAGAAUAACUUGGGGGAUGGGCUGAGCAAACUGAGGCUCAGGCUGCCCUAACCGGAGGGAUGGCGGAGAGAGCGCUCCAGGAAUUCGAGUCUGAUAAAAAGUGUUUGAACGAGAGUGCAGGCCAGAGGCACCUCCUUAAGGAAUCUUGGAUCCACCCCAGCGGGCCUGUGCCUCUCCUCUAAGACCUGCCACUCCCAUUUCCCAAGGCCACCGCCCUCGCCCGCUCCUGCGGCCGCCUGGAAAACGCCACCUCUGAGACCCCAUCGCAAUGCCUCCCUCUCAGCUACCCAUUUCAAGAGAGAAGAGCACGCACACACAUUUCACUGAGGGCCAGACCGAGGCUCAGCUGGACGCCCUACAGGCCUGACUCAGCGCCCUCAACUAUGGGUCCUGAGGCCACCGCAGCGGUCUGCAGGGAGCCACUCUGCGCUCCAGGCCCCCGACAGGCAGCGAGGUCAGCCAAUGGCAAUGCAGCGGAGGGCGGGCUUUGGGAUGCCGCAGGCAUUUGAUAGGCUCUACCUCACCCCCGGCGUUUAGCAGUGAGAGGACCGCGGACUUCCAGACUCCGAGAAGCGGCUGACAGACCAAGAGCUGCGCACGGUGGGUGGGCUUUGGGCCGUCCCAGCCAAUGGGAGGUGGUGCGGGCUUGAGACUUGCUACAAACGAGCCACUUAAUGUUAUUUUUAAAUUAGUGGCAAUGCAACCGUAAUUGUUCCAUCUAAAGCAGAGCUUGGAAGUUUCCACUUCUGAAUAUAUUUCUCGAAGAGAUUUUUAAUACACAACCACGGAGUCAAAAGUGGGGGAAAUUUACAAGUGAACCUACACAUUACUUUUAACUUUAAUUUUCCUUAUUAAAAAGUCUUUCCUAACCAAAUGCAUUGAAUAGUAAUUUGAGUUUGCAAUCCCCGUGAUCCAAAUUGAGGAAGGGUUCUUUUGUUUUGAAUUAAUUUUUUUAAAGACUAUUAUCUG
rnacentral:lncRNA from 1 species